rnacentral:ncRNA from 1 species
UAAGCAAAAGCCAAACUCGUUGUGAGGCGAGGACGGAAAGCUUCGGGUCUUGUUGCCGACAAGACAGCCGGGUUGCCACCA